rnacentral:rRNA from 1 species
UUUUCNCAAUGGNCGCAAGCCUGNUGGNGCAACGCCGCGUGCAGGAUGAAGGCUUUCGGGUCGUAAACUGCUUUUAUCUGUGACGAUUAUGACGGUAGCAGAGGAAUAAGGGUCGGCUAACUACGUGCCAGCAGCCGCGGUCAUACGUAGGACCCAAGCGUUAUCCGGAAUUACNUGGGCGUAAAGAGUUGCGUAGGUGGCAGAGUAAGCAAGACAUGAAAUCGUGUGGCUCAACCAUACAUCCAUGUUUUGAACUGCUCAGCUUGAGGACAAGAGAGGUAGUUGGAAUUCCCAGUGUAGGAGUGAAAUCCGUAGAGAUUGGGAGGAACACCGAUGGCGUAGGCAGACUACUGGCUUGUUCCUGACACUCAGGCACGAAAGCGUGGGGAGCGACCGGGAUUAGAUACCCCGUUAGUCCACGCCGUAAACUAUGGAUGCUAGUUGUUAUGGGUAUCGACCCCCGUAGUAACGAAGCUAACGCGUUAAGCAUCCCGCCUGUGGAGUACGGCCGCAAGGCUAAAACUCAAAGGAAUUGACGGA